UACGGAGGAUGCGAGCGUUAUCCGGAUUUAUUGGGUUUAAAGGGUGCGUAGGCGGGUUAUCAAGUCAGCGGUAAAAUCGUGGAGCUCAACGCCGUAGAGCCGUUGAAACUGGGGUUCUUGAGUGAGCGAGAAGUAUGCGGAAUGCGUGGUGUAGCGGUGAAAUGCAUAGAUAUCACGCAGAACCCCGAUUGCGAAGGCAGCAUACCGGCGCUCAACUGACGCUGAGGCACGAAAGUGCGGGUAUCGAACAGG
rnacentral:rRNA from 1 species